GCUCUUGAGAGAGUUUCGCUCGGCCAAGGGAUUCAGAUGGAGUCUCUGUUUUACCGGGCAGUUCUUCACGUUAUUCUGAGGGAUCACUACAGCUCCUUUAAAAGUGAAAAGCGAGUUGGAAUGUCUAUUCCAAGGCCAAAUCGUUUGUGGACUACGUUCGUCGAGCUCUACGCCGACUGGAACUGGAUGAAUCACAGCUUUUGGACAGUGACAUCCAGGGUUACCACGACACAUACAGGCCGCGAAUGGACGAGAUGCAUGCCUUCAAUAUGUUGAAGGUGGCGCUGGCCCCAUGCAUCGAAGGUCUGAUUCUCCUCGAUCGCCUCUGCUACCUGAAAGAACAGGUGGAUUUAUCAUUCUCUGCACUGGUGCAACUCUUUGAUCCCCUACUGUCACCAAGAUGUUACGCUGUUGUUGGCCUGAAGAGUUACAAAGUCAGAAUUUAAUGCUGAUGAACUUAUACAUAUGCGCAUGAUGAUAAUACGCAGGUCAUAAUUAUACAUGAUCAUAUCAGCAAUCUUCAGAAGUGAUUGUAUUAUGUAUGUAUUCUCUCCUGAUUGUUUUAAUUAUAUGUAUGAUUUAAUCAAAAUUUUAUAAGUUAUUUAUGCUGUCUCUGGAUUACUUUCAGUACCAUCUUCUUUUGUUUUAUAUGCUUAAUAAAUUUUUUAAUUUUUGUAG